rnacentral:lncRNA from 10 species
UGUCAGAAUUGGAACAUGAAGUAGAACUUCCAGUAACCCCUAGGAGCAUCAAGUGACCCAGAGAGGUAACCCCCUCCACCAGGGUCCAUUGCAUCCAUUGCUCUCUCACAGCAACUGAGGCUCAUGGUGGUAACUUUGUGAGACAAGCCUCAAAUUUUACCACUGUACCAAGAAAUGAAAGCCAGAAUGUGGAAUUGGAGCUGGUAAUGACGACGUCAGGACAGGUUCAAAGGAAGCCCAUCACUUGAGUAAAAAUUUAUAGCCCUGCUUGUGCUGUGCUGUGCUGUGCUGUGAGUUUCAGUUCCGGGCCAGCAAAAGAUUUAUCAAAGGAAAGCAACAAGGUGUGUGGAAAUAGAAGAUCCCUGCUCAGGAACCCACUGUGGGCCAAUCAACAGCUUCCCAAAACGAGUCAGGGAGUUCCAGAAGCUCCCAUUCCGGUGCCAGCUGAGAAUCCAUUUGGAUAAUAACGGAGUAAAAACUCUGGUUUGGAGAAAGUUUCUGUAAUGUUUUUCUUUUUCCUUUUUGGUGGAAGGGAGAAUAAAGGAGGAUAUUGCCUGGUAAGCAUGCAAAGAAAAAAAGUCACGCCAAUUUCACUAGAAUUGCCCAGAACCUCAACUCUGGUGAACUGCAGGUGACAACACUUCACACUGUUUACAUGAUUGGGGCUUCCCUGGAAACUGCGCUGACCCUGAGAUGAUUGAACAUUUAGAGUAAAACCCUUGAUGUAGUUCAUAAAAUUGGAUUCAAAUGAAAAGUUUAAUGUGGAGUCAUUCAAAAAUAACACUAAGAGCUCUUCCCUGAAUUCAAAAGAAAAAGGAAGGAAAACAUGUUAGUCUUAGCAGGAGCCAAGGCUGCAGGUGGGGGAAGAUGGAGAGGACAGUGUUUGGGUUUUAUUAUGUUUACUUUUCUCUUACGGAAGAAUAGAAGAUGGAUGACUUGAUGCCUGAGGUAAUUCAGUAUGUUUCACCAAUUUGGAGAUGGUCAUUUGUCCAUACUUAAGUCUCAGUAAUUAUGUUGAAAUAUUAUAAUUUCUGUAAGCUGGGAAGGUUACAAUGUGGUGGUUGUCAUUGCCCGGGCAUGCACAAACUUGGUCGUGAUUCCUGGUGGCAUGAUUAGACAGACAACUGCAACCCCUUGACACUUAAUUCCAGAAAUCAUUUAAGAAUCACUUGAAAAAGGAAUAUAUUAUUGUUCUCCUUCCAAUAACCAAGUGUCUUCUGAAAACCUUUCAUUGUCACUUUCUGGUAAUUGAACAAUGAGAACACAUGGACACAGGAAGGGGAACAUCACACACUGGGAACUGUUGUGGGGUGGGGGGAGGGGGGAGGGAUAGCAUUGGGAGAUAUACCUAAUGCUAAAUGACGAGUUAAUGGGUGCAGCACACCAACAUGGCACAUGUAUGCAUAUGUAACAACCCUGCACAUUGUGCACAUGUACCCUAAAACUUAAAAUAUAAUAAUAAUAAAAUUUAAAAAAA